rnacentral:rRNA from 1 species
AUUGAACGCUGGCGGCAUGCCUUACACAUGCAAGUCGAACGGCAGCACGGGUGCUUGCACCUGGUGGCGAGUGGCGAACGGGUGAGUAAUACAUCGGAACAUGUCCUGUAGUGGGGGAUAGCCCGGCGAAAGCCGGAUUAAUACCGCAUACGAUCUACGGAUGAAAGCGGGGGACCUUCGGGCCUCGCGCUAUAGGGUUGGCCGAUGGCUGAUUAGCUAGUUGGUGGGGUAAAGGCCUACCAAGGCGACGAUCAGUAGCUGGUCUGAGAGGACGACCAGCCACACUGGGACUGAGACACGGCCCAGACUCCUACGGGAGGCAGCAGUGGGGAAUUUUGGACAAUGGGCGAAAGCCUGAUCCAGCAAUGCCGCGUGUGUGAAGAAGGCCUUCGGGUUGUAAAGCACUUUUGUCCGGAAAGAAAUCCUUGGUUCUAAUAUAGCCGGGGGAUGACGGUACCGGAAGAAUAAGCACCGGCUAACUACGUGCCAGCAGCCGCGGUAAUACGUAGGGUGCGAGCGUUAAUCGGAAUUACUGGGCGUAAAGCGUGCGCAGGCGGUUUGCUAAGACCGAUGUGAAAUCCCCGGGCUCAACCUGGGAACUGCAUUGGUGACUGGCAGGCUAGAGUAUGGCAGAGGGGGGUAGAAUUCCACGUGUAGCAGUGAAAUGCGUAGAGAUGUGGAGGAAUACCGAUGGCGAAGGCAGCCUCCUGGGCCAAUACUGACGCUCAUGC